AUUGAACGCUGGCGGCAGGCCUAACACAUGCAAGUCGAACGAGUGGCGGACGGGUGAGUAAUGUCUGGGAAACUGACUGAUGGAGGGGGAUAACUACUGGAAACGGUAGCUAAUACCGCAUACCAUCAGAUGUGCCCAGAUGGGAUUAGCUUGUUGGUGGGGUAACGGCUCACCAAGGCGACGAUCCCUAGCUGGUCUGAGAGGAUGAACCGCCACUCUGGAACUUAGACACUUUCCAGACUCCUACGUGAGGCAGCAGUGGGGAAUAUUGCACAAUGGGCGCAAGCCUGAUCCAGCCAUGCCGCGUGUAUGAAGAAGGCCUUCGGUUUGUAAAGUACUUUCAGCUGGGAGGCGUUACCCGCAGAAUAAGCACCGGCUAACUCCGUGCCAGCAGCCGCGGUAAUUC
rnacentral:rRNA from 1 species